rnacentral:lncRNA from 1 species
UACCAUAAGCUGUGGUCACAGAUGCAGUGGAUAGGUGUUGGAUUCGGUGUUGCUGUGGCAUAGGCUGGCAGCUGCGGCUCCAACCCUAGCUUGGGAACUUCUAUUUGCUACUACAGGUCCAGCCCUGAAAAGAAAAAUAAAUAAACAGUGCCAGGAGGAGCCUGAGGCAGCAGCAUCUCCAGACCAGCACCCGGCAGGAAGAAGCUGGACAGGAAUCCUGAGUCUCCUGUGUGCACACCCGCCUCGGUCUUCAAGGGCAUGUCAGGCCUGGCCCUUACUGUGGUGAACCCAGGUCUUUGCACCUAAGCCCCGUCACCAGAUGGCUGUCAAGGGGGACAGUGGGAGCUGCUGCAUCAGUAGGUCCAGGAGAGAGGCUCGGUCACCAGAGGAGAGCCAGAGACAAGGAGAUGAGAAAACUGAGGCACCAGGAGCUUAUACUUCUUCCCCAAGUCCUCACAGCAGCAUGGCCCACAUCUGCCAAGACGGUGCUUGCAGCCCUACCAGGCCCCAGCCCCAGCUCUCUCCUGAGCUCCUGCCCUCCUUCCAGCAGGAUACUGACAGCAAGAAGGAAGAAGAGUCAGUUUCACCCAUGUCCUGCAAGAACAGCCCCCCAAACCAGUUCAACAGCAGGUAAUGGGCCUGGUGAGCUUCUCACUGCUCAGCUAGGUCUGAAGACUUCCCUCCAUGCCCCACAACCCACCCUAGAGUAGCCUAAAGAGAGGGGACCUGACAGAGGCAGAAGCCACCAACACUUGCCAGGGCCUGGAGCAGAGACAUGGCCCUCUGCAGGGCAGCUGUGUCCUCAGGACUCCUUCAGCCUGGGAGCACCCUUCAUCACCACCACGAGGGGCCACAGCCUCUCCAGGAGGGAAGGUGCUUCCCUUGGUCCUGUUGAGAGCCCAUUUGUAGGCAUCUGGGAAGGGUAUGGGAUGCCGCUCUUCCCAACUUUCUCAGAGUCAGAGUUAGGGGGUCUUGUGAGCUAGCUGGGUGGGCAGUGAGGCCGGCAUCAGCAACAGGGCCUCAGAGCCCUCGGGGUGUGGCUGCAGAACCCCCGCUCCAGGAGAGAAUCCUCUGCACCUUGUCAAUGCAGAGGCCUGGGUGCCACCACCAGGCCUGAGGAUUGGGUUGUUGGCAGUCUGGCCCAGGACUCUAUAUCUUUGAGAUGCCUCCAAUGAGCACUGUCUCACCCCAGAGUUUGAGAACCUCGGGGUGGGGGGUGGGGUGUAGAGGCCUUGCUUUCUCUCCAAAAGGAGCUGAUGCUAAUGGCCCUGCAGAGCCAGCCUCCUCCCCUGCUGCUUUGUUACCAUGGUGCCCACAGGGGCCUCUGUGGUCUGGCAGAGAUUUGGAGCAAUAAGGAUGCCCCAUGCACUGGACAAGCACCCCUUGGCCUGAGCGGGACUUGGGGCAGAGGAGCAACAGGGUGCAGGACCGAAGAGACUUUCCAGUUCCCUCAACGCCUAGCACUGGAGAAGUGGCAUCUCCCCCAACCCUGUGGAAGCCCCUGGGAUACCUGGGCAGUUCAGAGGAAGAGUCACCUCCACCCAGGAGGGAGGGGACUCUGAGCUUCCUGCUGAUUGACUUGUGAGCCUCACAUUGUCAACUGAAGUCAAAGAAGCAUGGUGGCAUUCUCCCUUGAGCUUGUGGCACAGAUCAUGCAGACAACAUGUGGCCUUCUCUCUGGACCUUUCACAUUGAUGGUGAACUUCCUUGGGGACGGGAAAAACACAGCACAAAGUAUCAGGAUCACACGGCUCCUUCUACUACCCAUUGUCAUCUGUUCAUACUCGAGGCCACCACGGCCCAUGCAGGAGGGUGCAGAAAGGGCAGGGCCGACCAUGUCCAGGUCUGCUGACCCUCAUGGGGGAAGCAAAACACACACACAUAACCAGCCCGAGGUGUGAAGAGCUUACAGCCAAUCAUCUACUCGGUACCAGGAAAAUCGUCACAGCGCUGAACAGUGAACCAGAGGGCAACUCAGGAGUGCAGACACAGAUACACACUGCCCUUUACACAGCUGCUGGUUUGGAAAACAGAAACCAAAUGUGUCUUCACCCUACGGGAGAUCAAAGAGCGACAGUAAUCUCUGCCCCUCCAAUCCCCAAAACUGGCACCAUGGGGCUUGUCCUUUGCAGAUGGAGUCAACUAAAUAAAUGGGGAGACCAAGCACAGUAGCAACAACUGCCUUCCAGGACCUGUCCAACCGUCUGCCAUCCAGGGCACCCUGCCUGUCUGCAGUGCCCUGGUUGAACAGCCCCUGGCGUUUGGGCCACAAUUGAAAGAUGGAUACAGGUUGGAAUUUGCAUUAAUAAUCUGAACCAACCCAAUGAUGUGCUAACUCCCACCUAAACUGUGUGUCCUCUGGUCCAGGUUUUUGCUGUGCUUCCUACACAAACACACUGAAGCUUCCUAACUGACUACAGGCAUCCCAGGGACCAAGAGACACUUUUCCUUGGUACCAAUUUGCUCCCAGAUGGCAGGUCCCAGGGAGAAUCCCUCCAACCCAGAGAAGCUUCAGCACAUGGGAAUGCCUUGGGGCAUGUUGUCAGAACAAGUCUCAAGCCCUGACUCCAAACGUCUUCUCAUCAUGAGGUACAGUGAACUGCCCCACCUGGUCUCAUCUACAUGUCUGCAUCCCUCAGGUCCGUAGGUGUCAAAGAAUUUGGAAUUGUUCAGGUAUUAGAAAGGUAACAAGAGGCAAAGACAUUUGUUUUGUUAGAGCUUCAGUAUGGAAAUGGACUCCAUAGCCCAGUGCUUUAAUAUUGAUUUGCCCAGCUCUCCGGAAGGCUGGAAGCUCAAAGGUCAUCCACUGUCUCACUUCUCCCCAUCCAGGAGGACAACCUAAGAAGUGGACUCUGAGGUCAGACCAGUGCUUUGCCCACGUGAAGGCCUUGUACCUUUCUGAGCCCCGUGACCCCACAGGGAAGUGGGCCAUGUGCCUGCCUGCCUAUCCCUUUCUGUGGGGCGCUGGCUAUCAAAGUAACGCCCACACUCACUGUUACCACUCCCACCUCUCUUCUCAGCCGGGCCUCUGUAAGACCUGCAUCCAACCCCCCACUCCCCUCAACCUCAGAGCAGUCUCUGCUGCUCACGGAUGAUCCAGACCACAGCCUCAGUGAGAAGUUCUUGAGCUUACCUGCUGCUCUCCCACUCUGUAGCCUCCACUCUGCUUCUUCAAUGCUUUCGCUCACUACACUUGAGAUAGCUCCAGGCUUCUGUCUCUGGCCCUGGCUGCUCUGCUCUCACCAAAGCGUCCCAUGCUCAGGGCUGAGAUCACUUCCUCCGUACCUGCAGAAUACAGAUCUACAAGGGGGCCCCUCGGCCAGGUGCAUAAGAUGUGGGGUGCAGGGCAAAAUGAAAAUGCAGUCAAAAGUUAUCCGGAAUUUCAAGACAACAAACUAAACAGAGCAUUAAGCUAAGAGAUGGCCCUUCUGAGCAGGGCCCCUGAAUGACAGUGGGAUAGUGAAUCUGUCUCCUUUCCGCACUCACACUGGUGUUCCCCCUGGCAACUCUUUCAGGCAGUGCCUCCCAGCUCUCCAAUUCUUUCAGUCUUCCAAUCCAGAAAUCCUGGAGUCCCCAUGAAGGGACAAAGAAGUCAAAAACAAUGGAUUCUUCUCACUCAGCAAAGUCCACGCCUGUCUCCCGAGGCUCACACAGGAGCUGAUGACCUGAAUCCUGCUCAGCUUCUCAAUUCUCCAUCCCCUGUCCUCUCCUGCCCACCCAUCUUGGACCUCUCCUGAAUCUCAUGUCCUGGGACAAGUCACCAUCUCUGAUCAUCAUCUGGUGCUAAUUAAACCCCCUGUUUUCUCCCCAAGGGCAUUAUAAACUCACAAGGACCAAGAUUCUGUUUUUUCUCUUCCUAACCUCCCACCCUCUCACAUCUUGCUGGGGGUGAGAGGUUUGGAAGUCAGGGUCCUCAAAAAUACAAAUGACUCCCUAGCAGAUUCCAUUUCCCCUUCUCAUCUAUCCCUCGCCAGAUCUAGAGGCCUGAGGAACCCAGUCCCUGUUGGACUUCAGAGCAAAGCCUGAAGCCUGGCAUAUCCUACCGUACAAGGAUCAAGUGAGCUCCAGAAAUCUGCGGGGGUUUUUUUGUUUUUUUUUUUUUUUUUUUUUUUUUUUUUUUGCUUUUUACAGCCAUACCCUUGACAUAUAGAGGUUCCCAGGCUAGGUGUCUAAUUGGAGCUACAGCCGCCAGCCUACACCACAGCCACAGCAACACCAGAUCUGAGCCGCAUCUGCAACCUACACCACAGCUCAUGGCAACGCUUGGAUGCUUAACCCACUGAGCAGGUCCAGGGAUUGAACCCACAACCUCAUGCUUCCUAGUCGGAUUCGAUUCUGCUGUGCCACUACAGGAACUCCCGGAUUAUUAUUUUUAGGGUAGAUUAUGUAUGUAUAAAGUCACAAUCUACCUUAAAAACAUAUCUAUAUAUGUCACUACAGCAGGCACUAAAAAAAUUAAGAGGCACACAGCCAAUAAAAAGUAUUUAGUUAAAUCAAAGAAGGUAGUAAGAGGGAAAAAGAAACAAAGAACAGAUGAAACAAGUACAAAACAAUUAGAAGGUAGAUUUAAACUCAGCUAUGUUGAUAAUUACACUAAAUGUAAUUAAGUGCAAAUACUCCAAAUAAAAGGCAGAGAUUUGCAGAAUGGAUAAAAAAAA